AUGCCAGCCCACCGGACGGCACUCGACCGUCACCCCGCCCGCAGCCCGGUAACCGGGGCCUCCGCGGGAUAUCCCUGCACUCCGUGCCCUGCCGCCCCGGGGGUCGCGUCCGUGCCCCAGAGCCCUCCCCCGCACUGCCGGCCCCUCGGGGCCUCGGGAGGCUGUGAGCACCUUCCGUCCCAUCAGGACGCGUGUGAGCAGCACUCCGGCGAGUCUCCCGCUCAUACUCGGACACGUAACACCCCGACUCGGAUUAUGCAAGUGCGCACGGUCCGCACGGGGUCGGUCUGCACCAUCCAGGUCGGCGGGCUCGGCGGAGGCAGCGGGAUCGUGGGCGCCGCGGCGCGGGGCGAGCCCGCGAGGGGAGCCCGCCCCGGACCCAGCUCCGCGCCCCCGACCCGCACGGCCGACCUGGGCGCUCCCGCCGGGCUGCCGCGGGGACAGGCUGCGCGGAGCAAGCGGGCCGCCCUCCCUCCCUUCCCCCGUCGGUCCCUCGGUCGUCCCCUCCCCGCCGCGUCCUGCCCCCGCCCCCCCGCGACCACCCCCGACGCCCACGUGAUGCGGAGGGUGACGGCCGCCGUCCCGGGCCGCGAACCCCACGCCGCGACGACCUCGCAGGAUUCAGGAGGCGGGAGGCGGGAGGCGGCCGCCGGCCGCGAGCUGUGGGCGGGGCUGGGCGGGGCGCGGCCGCCGUCGGACUCCGCGGGCCUGGGCCAGGCAGGGCCGGGGGCGUCGCCGCGGGGCUGGGCCUGGGUCGUACCUACCGCUGGGCGCUCGGAGCGCCGCUGCGUCCCCCGUCGCCUCUCGCCGCGCCGCCGUGGCCCGUCGGGGCCCCGCGCUCCCGCCCGCCUCCGCCCCGCGCGGCGGGACCCCCGCCUCGGCGCGCGCCCACCCCCGCGCGACCCCGUCCCCUCCUCCCAGCACAGCCAGAAAGAGAAAAUGGCGCUCGAUUUGCCUCCGGAAGUGACGCGCGCCCUCAUUUGCAUGCCAGUACAGCCAGCCAAUGGGAGGAGAGUAUGCAUUGGACCCCCCUGGGCACUGCCCACAGGACCCUUGGGGCCCCUCCCUGAAGCUGGACUGGAAGCUCUGGAGUGGGGGUGGGGGAGGGUCCCUGUUGGAGCCCCCGCCCCCCACCCCUUUCCUGCCACAGUGGGCUGGCCUGCCAGCCUCUCCCUAGCAUCUCUGCAAACUCUCUCGAGAGUUUGUGUGGGUGAUGACGUCAUUGAAGGGGCGGGGCGAGGGCGCCGUCCACCACGUGACCAGUCACGUGGGCUCACCAGAGCUUUGACUUCAUUUACAUGGAAUGGGGGUGGAGCUAGUGGCAGGGGCAGGAAUGGGAGGCCCCGCCCACAUCUCAGAGCCAAUGGGAAGCCAGCUGCGAGGAGAAUCCUGCGCUGCCAUUGGAGGACACAAGUUGGGCUCUCAGAACUUGAACAAGUGUGUCCUUGGACUGAUGGGGGCUCCUGA
rnacentral:lncRNA from 1 species